UACGUAGGUGGCAAGCGUUAUCCAGAAUUACUGGGUGUAAAGGGCGCGCAGGCGGCCUUGCAAGUCGGAUGUGGAAGAUCAAGGCUCAACCUUGACAGGUCAUCCGAAACUGUAAGACUUGAGUGUCAGAGGGGAAAGUGGAAUUCCUAGUGGAGCGGUAAAAUGCGCAGAUAUUAGGAGGAACACCGGUGGCGAAGGCGACUUUCUGGCUGACAACUGACGCUGAGGCGCGAAAGCGUGGGGAGCAAACAGGAUUAGAUACCCU
rnacentral:rRNA from 1 species